rnacentral:lncRNA from 1 species
GUUCAUAUAUAUGUUUUCAUGAUGAUGAUGAUGUUAUUGCUUUCGUAUAUUGUUUUAUGAAUUUCACCGAGGUAAGUAAAUGGUAAAGGUUUUAUUUUCGAUAAAAGGAUUUGUUGUAAAUUAUGCUCCAUUGGUCUUUUUGUGUUUUCUACCCACCUUUACCUCCGUGACGGUGAGAUAUCGUGAUGUCUUUACUGGGCUAGUGUAGCUCAUUCCUUAUUUAAUCAUUUCAUAUCAAGAGGACAUCGUUCCCGAGCCGCUUCCGCAGGAGGACGACGAAGGGGACGCCUAAGGACUCCAUAGUCACAUUCGUAGUUUUUACUUUCAAGUUUCUCCUUUAGGUAGUUUAAU